AGCGAGUCUGCCAGAGUUGGCCAAUGUGUGCGAGAGGGUCCGUGAGUGAUUAGUUACUGCGUGGACUUCGAGGGGUAUUCAGCUGUGUCCCCACAUUUCCCUUCCCUGCCUCCACCCUGAGACCCCCUGACCACAGCAACUCAAGAGGAAGAGAGGAGAGAGGAAAGGAACAUGGGAUUUGGGGCGUAAUCCUGUUUGUCCUCGGGGUCACAGGCUCUACAGAGUUGAGAUUGUCAGCUACAGUCUGGAAGUUUAUUCGAGGCACAAUUGUAAUUCCCUCUGGAGAGCAGUCAGUGUCUCCUGCUGAAUGCUGGAGAGGAGACAGGUUGCUGCAAGAUGAUAAUUGAAAAGAAAGUGGGUGGUCCUCUUUGGCCCCCAUGGCCCUCUGGGACAGUUAUAUUGAGACGCCUGCAUGUUUUGGAGGGGGCAGAUUACAGAAUGUUAUAUUUGAAGAAACGAUUAUGUCCUUCUGGGCUUAAUUCGACAGACGUAGCUAUUGUGUGGUAGCUGUUUCUGUUGUCUUUUGCCAUUCAUGUCGAUUUGUGUGUUUUUAUGUGUGUGUGUGCGUGCGUGCGUGUGUGUUGGCUGUUUGCUGUUGGAUCAUUGCCCCCCAUUAACUAGUUCUGAGAGCUUUGUUUUGCUUUUUUUUACAAACAUGUUUAAAGCGUCCUUGAAUUUUCCAGAGCAUUUUUUUACUUGUACGAUUUCUGACUCUCUUUUGUGUUUGUUUGUGUGUUAUGUGUUUGCAGCAUCCACGCCUACUUAUGUCAAAUUAAAAUGCAUGACUGUGUGCAUCUAAAUACAUUGA